CGGAAGCUGGCAAUUCUGAGAACUGGAAGCUAUGGUCCCUAUCAAGUCUGAAAAGAAAAUUGCACAGAAUUGCACUGUUAAUGGAGCCCAACCCAUUUCACAGGGCAAGUGAGGAAAAUAGAAGAAAGAAGGAAUAUUAUGCAUAUUCACCACCUUGAAUUAUUGAUAAAAAUACUAAAGAGAAGGAAAGAAAACUGAACAGCACAACAAAUGUGGGAAAGAAGAAUGAAUGGAUUGACGAAAAGAAGACAAAGAAACAUAUGGUUAGAUGUUAAUGAAAUCCUCUAAAACAGAAGGACGAGAAGCUUAAAGAACAGACAAUGAAGCCGUGGACAGAUGUGAUGGAAGUGAAGGCAUUUGCAAGGAUAGAAAAUCAGAUUGCAAGUACUUUGUUGUGGAAGAAGCCCGGGCUUAUCUACACCACUUCUUUUGCUGUGCUAUUUCCCAGUUCUGAAGCCAUUUAGCCUGUCCCCUUAAAUUUUGUUGUCCCCAGAGCUGCAACCUUACCAGAAUUGUCUAAAAACACUACUGACUUUGGAACGUUGGGCACUGAAGUCCGUACAUCUGGAGGGAGCCUGUAUUGUAAAACCUAGCUUAUGGCAGUGCGUAUCCAUCGAAAGAUCGUAACUCUGUCAUGAAGACUGGAAUACCUAAGAGAGAAAAUGAAAAAUUUGCAUCAUACAUUAAAUUAUAUGAUGCAUCAAGGAGUGUUAAUCCAAGAUUAAUAUAAGGGAGACCAAGGCAGUUUUAUUUGAUAGAGAAAAUGGAAUGAGCAAUUGUAAAUUAUAUGAUAACUAAAGUGGGGAAAUGGAUAUGUAGAAAUUUAAAGGUGUGCCAAUGUUGCUAGAAAGGCAGUGAGCUGUUACAAGAACUGAAUGUCAAAACAGCUGUGUAUUGGAAACAAACAUCAGAUAUGUCAGGAGUAUUACGGUAAAGCAAGAGAUUGGGUCAAGUACAAUUGGGCGCUGAAUAAUGUGCACUGAAUACAAGAAUGGGCAGUAUGAAAAAAGGUUGAUCAUACUGUACAGAGAAAAUAAAUAUAUGAAGAAAGAGUGAAUACAUCAAGAGAAGAAAUAUUGUGAAUAUUGUUGUUGCUUUUUGCUUCCUAAUAAGAUCAGGCAAAAUACAUAUCACUUCAUACAAGCUGUAGGUCAGACAGAAAAUUCAUAUUCCCAUUGCAGGUUACCCCUUCAUCUGCUGGGAUAAAAAUUCAGCUCUUUUUAAAUCUAAGGGAAGCAUUCAAGGAAACUGUAGAUAAAGUUUUCCAUUCAGCAGUCUCAAAAUUAAUAUAACGGAAUCUUUAAGAACUGGAAGGUGCCCCAAUAAUUAAACAUCUAUUUAAAAAAUCUUCUAUUUCUGACAAAAUAGGUAAAAACAUAGCCAGGAAUUACUCUAGCUUUUUCUUAUCUAUCUCUGUGCACAAGUCUUUGUUUCUCUGUACAGAUUAAGGAAUUAUGUGGAAUACCAUUGUUCAAGAAUGCUAAAGAUGUGUGAAAAGAUACUUUUUCUCUUGAGUGUUCUUGGAAACUGUAAUAUUUUGUACUGCAAUCUUGUGAUUUGGCAUAUUCUAGGCAGAGAAUGCUUGCUUCACACCAAACAAUUUUGCGGUCUGCCCAAAAUCUUGUUGCUUACAAAAUAAAUUUUUUUUAGAAUUUUUCUUGUUUUUUGUUUACAUUUGCUGUAUUCCAAGAUACAAAACAGCCCUGUAAUUUAUCAUCCCCAACAAUGAGUGUUUUCAUUUAAAAAAAAUAAAGAAGAAAUAUCAUAUUUUCUUUUCUUUGUUUUAAUUUCUUUGACUGUUUGGGAGCUGCCUAGAG